CCAAGUUCACUGCCGGUUAAACAGUGACAGGGACCAGCAGUAAGUUGCUACUGGUGAGUGAAAUGCAUAACUGCCUCAUUAUGCUGGUAUUGAAUAAACAACUGUAGAGGAACAUCAUCCUAAGAGUUAGAAGAGAAACCCCAGGAAGAUUCAGGACUCACCCUUGAUGAUGUCAUUGUCAUGGUGAAAAAGACGUCAAUGAAGUUGCCAAAAAACAAGGCUUCUCAUUUAAGAGCAUCAGAGAAAAGGCCCAGUGAAUACGGGACUCUGAGCAAUCCAAGACUGACUCCUACAAAAUGACACAGCUACUGGGAGGUCGCCUGAGGCAGUGGUGUCAGGUAGUCCACGUCCUGUCUAUUUUCCCUGAUUUGGCCAGGA